rnacentral:ncRNA from 1 species
AAAGAAGAGGUCGCGUGACUCAUCAGUAGAUGGCUUUAGACGAAUGAGCGUCGUAGAGCUGUUGAAAGGGUGCCAUGCCGAAAUGGAUGACUACUUAUUUUAGUUGUCUGUUGGGCCCUGGUCUAAUAAAUCAGGGACUGUCGCAAAAAUAUUUGCGGGGCGCUGUC